GUUAGGUUAGGUUAACGCACUUGUUUUUUACGUUUUUGGUAUCACAUUUUAUGCUUUUCGGAUGAGAUUUUAAUGAAUGUAGAUGUUAGCUUUUAGCCAACUGAAAAUUAAAGUAGAUAAAAUCAGGAUACGAGUAUAUCAAUCUUAUGAUAAAAUCACAAAUAAUAUUCAGUAUUAAUUAUUCUCAAUAAUAUUUUUUUAAUGAUGUUAUAGUCAUUUGAAAUUUUUAAAAUAAGGACAUAAAGGGGCCUCAAAGAUUACUGUCACAAGAGAAAUUGAUUGGAUAUAGAUUUCAAAACUUUACCGAAGAGGAAUUUGAAACCAUGAAUAAGACAAUUCAACAUGCGAAAACAAUUAAACUAUAAGUUUGCUUUUCCU